GAGGGGGGGUAGAAUUUCAGGUGUAGCGGUGAAAUGUGUAGAGAUGUGAAGGAAUCCCGGUGGAGAAGGCGGCCCCCUGGACAGAUACUGACAGUCAGAUGCGAAAGCGUGGGGAGCAAACAGGAUUAGAUACCCUGGUAGUCCACGCUGUAAACGAUGUCUACUUGGAGGUUGUGGCCUUGAGCCGUGGCUUUCGGAGCUAACGCGUUAAGUAGACCGCCUGGGGAGUACGGUCGCAAGAUUAAAACUCAAAUGAAUUGACGGGGGCCCGCACAAGCGGUGGAGCAUGUGGUUUAAUUCGAUGCAACGCGAAGAACCUUACCUACUCUUGACAUCCAUAGAACUUAGCAGAGAUGCUUUGGUGCCUUCGGGAACUAUGAGACAGGUGCUGCAUGGCUGUCGUCAGCUCGUGUUGUGAAAUGUUGGGUUAAGUCCCGCAACGAGCGCAACCCUUAUCCUUGUUUGCCAGCACUUCGGGUGGGAACUCCAGGGAGACUGCCGGUGAUAAACCGGAGGAAGGUGGGGACGACGUCAAGUCAUCAUGGCCCUUACGAGUAGGGCUACACACGUGCUACAAUGGCGCAUACAGAGGGCGGCCAACUUGCGAGAGUGAGCGAAUCCCAAAAAGUGCGUCGUAGUCCGGAUUGGAGUCUGCAACUCGACUCCAAGAAGUCGGAAUCGGUAGUAAUCGUGGAUCAGAAUGCCACGGUGAAUACGUUCCCGGGCCUUGUACACACCGCCCGUCACACCAUGGGAGUGGGCUGCAAAAGAAGCAGGUAGUUUAACCUUCGGGAGCACGCUGCCA
rnacentral:rRNA from 1 species